GAACCAGGCACGACCGCGCUGAGGGCUGAGCACCGACUCCCCGCCUCCGCUGGCGGGGAGGGGGCCAGCCCGGCCAGGAGACCCCACCCCGAGCCAGGGAGGAGUCAGGGACGCCGCGGGGCCAGGCAGGAAUGUAAGACCCUGAUAAGCGUACCAGGGCUCACGAGGAACAGGGGAAGCACCGCAAGAAUAGAGAAGGGGGCCUCAGAGAUGUGCCAGCAGCCAGCUUCUUCCGGGGGCGGCGUGGGGCCAAGGCAGGCCCGGAGAUCAUGAUCGACUGGCAGAGGCUCCAGGAUCAACCAGUCAGUCGCGAUCGACAGGCAGUAGUGAUUUUAACUGAUAUCUCACUCCGGAGGGUAACAAAGGCAGAGAGAGGACAGCUGCUGGUGUCCCAAAGCUGCUCUCACCCAUAUGCUUCUCGACUGUGUACUGCAAUGGUGCCUGCUGAAGUUAUCGCCCACUGGCGGGGGUGGUGUCUUACCACAGAGGAAGAAAUAAGGCUGCCAUCACUACAAACCUUUGGGAGAGGACUGCAGAAUAUCUCCAUGGAAGUUUCACUGCAAUCUCUCAGGAGGAUUCAGUAACUGCAGCCAACAUCUAAGUUGCUGAAACAUGAAAUUUCUUCCCUUGAAUAGACAACCUUGGAACGUCUAACCCAAAAGAAAUCCCAUUAGUCAUACACGGAGUCUGUCUCUGGGAAAAUUGCUAGCGGAAGUGGGACAAAUAGGCCAGACACUCUUUGGAGAACUUAAUUUGCAGUGAUCUAGAUUAAUAGUUUAAGGCCAGAAGGGAUCAUUUGAUCAUCUGGUAUGAUCUCCUGAAUAUCACAGGACAUUACAUUUCAGCUACAUUUCAUUGUGUAUUGAGCAUGAGAACUUGAGUUUCACGAAAGCAUAUCUUCCAGAAAGGCAUCUGGUCUUGAUUUGAAGACCUCAAGAGAUGAAGAAUCCACCACCUCACCAGGUCACUUGUUCCAUUUGUUAAUCACCUUCACUGUUAAUUUGAAUUCCUCUGGCUUGAGUGUUCAAUGAGCAAGAGCUCGAGUGGCAAAGACUGGUAACACAAUGACCAUGUGGAAGCUGAGGAAUUACCCUGAAUGGGAACAUGGAGAGCCUAGACACGCAUUUGAACACUGCCCGAUGCAGUGCCCCUUGUCAACAUGCUGUACCUUGGAGGAACUGUUUGAGAUACAUGACACAACCAGGUCUUGGCUGUGGUUCUGGAGUGACAAUCUACAAUGAUGAGCCAGCUUUUCUCAGCUAACUUAAAGAGCCCUUUAGAUUCAUUAGUUUCUCCCUGUGAAGUUACCCAGACACUAUAAUCGAUUCACCUCUUAAUCUUUUUGAUAAAGAUAAACAGAUAGAACUCUUUAAAGUCUCUCACUGGAAGGCAUUUUCACAAGCCUUUAAAUCACUUGCACAGUAUCCUUUAGGUUUCUCAGUCAUGUUUGAGUACCAAGGAAUAAACUUCCAGGAUUCUAAAAAAAAGAGCAGAAUGGGAGGGGGCAUGAGAGAAGAGAGCAGCUGGCACAGUUGAGACCUAUCAAUGUUUGAGAACUUUUAAGAGAGUAUAAAGUACCCUAGAGUUAUUUUUAUUAAAGUAAAUAAAUGAUUUAGCAAACUACUAGCUCUAAUUGCUGAGUAAGACCUAGGGAGUGGGAAUAUCAGAAUAGACAAUAGUGAAAGAAAUGAAAAAACAAAUGAACAAAGAGAAAUGAAAGCCAAAGUAUUGUUUUGUCAUCUUACUGAGCAGCUAUCAGAGUUUCUUUAGUGCUGAUUUUCUUCCAUGAGUUCACGGUCAAAUCUUUUUGCUUUCAAGAAUAUUUUACUUCUGGAUUUUCUUUACUAGCUGCAUUGCUGAGCUGACACUUCAAAACAAAUACAUCUUUUCUAAGUACAUUACCCUGAACUUUACUAGGAAAAGGACUAAGGCAGAACUUCCUCAAGCAAUAUAAUCUGUAUAGUGUCAAAUGCUUUUCUUUUUAGUACAGAAAUAACAAAAGCUUAUGUCCACCGAUGAUGAGUGACUUUUUGUUGUUGUUGCAUAAAAAAAAAAAGAUAGAUCUUUUCCUGUCCUUCCACUCCGGUUCUGUAGCAGUUACUGUUCUGCCUGUUGUAACUUGCAUUUCAUUCCCUUUAUGUGGCAUUUAGGUAGCAGCAUUAAAGGUGCACUGGUUCUUCCUUGAAAUCCAGACCCAGCCAUUUUGAAAUUCUUCUUUUCAGAAGCUCUGUUAGUUCUUUGAAUUGUCACCUGAAAUUCUCAAAAUUUGAGCAUUUUUAGCACUGACCUGAUUUUUCUGGCAGUUCUGUUCUUUGUGGUCAACUAUAGGCUUCAGCUUUUCCAAUUGGUUUGGUCUUGGUUGCCAUUCUGUCUAGCUUUUUCUGUGCCCAUUUUGUUGGAUCAUAUUAAAGAUCCGUAUUAAAAUCACAAAUGAGUUUGAUUCCCCCUAGUUUAAAUUCCAGGGUAUUACUAAUUAAGAGGUCUCUUGGUUUUUGGUACUGUUUCUCUCC